UGGGGAAUCUUGGACAAUGGGCGCAAGCCUGAUCCAGCCAUGCCGCGUGAGUGACGAAGGCCUUAGGGUUGUAAAGCUCUUUUGGCGGGGACGAUAAUGACGGUACCCGCAGAAUAAGCCCCGGCUAACUUCGUGCCAGCAGCCGCGGUAAUACGAAGGGGGCUAGCGUUGUUCGGAAUUACUGGGCGUAAAGCGCACGUAGGCGGAUUUGUCAGUCAGGGGUGAAAUCCCGAGGCUCAACCUCGGAACUGCCUCCGAUACAGCAAGUCUCGAGUCCGGAAGAGGUGAGUGGAAUUCCUAGUGUAGAGGUGAAAUUCGUAGAUAUUAGGAAGAACACCAGUGGCGAAGGCGGCUCACUGGUCCGGUACUGACGCUGAGGUGCGAAAGCGUGGGGAGCAAACAGGAUUAGAUACCCCAGUAUUCCCUGAGCGGGCUGGCAAGGCGCAU
rnacentral:rRNA from 1 species